GAUGAACGCUGGCGGCGUGCCUAAUACAUGCAAGUCGAGCGAACAGACGAGGAGCUUGCUCCUCUGACGUUAGCGGCGGACGGGUGAGUAACACGUGGAUAACCUACCUAUAAGACUGGGAUAACUUCGGGAAACCGGAGCUAAUACCGGAUAAUAUAUUGAACCGCAUGGUUCAAUAGUGAAAGACGGUUUUGCUGUCACUUAUAGAUGGAUCCGCGCCGCAUUAGCUAGUUGGUAAGGUAACGGCUUACCAAGGCAACGAUGCGUAGCCGACCUGAGAGGGGGUGCGGCCACAUGGAAACGGAGCACGGGACAAGCCACCAAGGGGAGGCACAAGUGGGGAUUCUGCGGAAAGGGGAGAAACCCGGACGGAGAAACGCGGGGGGAGUGAGGAAGGUCUGAGGAUAGAAAAACUUUUUUAUAGGGGAAAAAAAAAGGUGAAAGAAAAUAUGCACGUCGGGAGGUAACCUAAUCAGAAAGCCAGGGCUAACUAGGUC
rnacentral:rRNA from 1 species